UCAGAUCUACCAAUCAGGUCAGUGCAGACAUAUCAGAUCUACCAAUCAGGUCAGUGCAGACAUAUCAGAUCUACCAAUCAGGUCAGUGCAGACAUAUCAGAUCUACCAAUCAGGUCAGUGCAGACAUAUCAGAUCUACCAAUCAGGUCAGUGCAGACAUAUCAGAUCUACCAGAACAGGUCAGUGCAGACAUAUCAGAUCUACCAAUCAGGUCAGUGCAGACAUAUCAGAUCUACCAAUCAGGUCAGUGCAGACAUAUCAGAUCUACCAAACAGGUCAGUGCAGACAUAUCAGAUCUACCAAACAGCUCAGUGCAGACAUAUCAGAUCUACCAAAACAGGUCAGUGCAGACAGAUAUUUGAUCUACCACCAAAACAGGUCAGUGCAGACAGAUAUUUACCUACCAAACAGGUCAGUGCAGACAGAUAUUUGAUCUACCAGAAAACAGGUUGUGUUCAUUGCCAGUGGUUUCAGUUAAACUGAUGACCACUGAUCUAAGCCCUAUUACAAUAAAAACAUGACGAGUCAUUUAGUUCCAGGAACUCAUUUACAUCCAGGAAGUCAUUUAGUUCCAGGAAGUCAUUGCCGUAAUCUCCUCCAAUCACUAAAACUUUGGAAACCCAACUUGAUGCGUGAUUGUAUUGUUGCUUAAUAAUAUUUUUUCCCCCGGAAGGGAGACGUCUCUGUUGUUCUAAGAACCAUUCCCUGUUUCAGGUUGUUAUGGUAACGAGUAGGUGAGAGUUUUUCUCCACUGUUUGGGGAUGGGAUGACUGUGUCAGAGUCAGAGUGUGUGGGUGUCAGUGUCCUGCCCCAUCCGGGGAGAGGGGGGGCAGGAAUCCACUGCCAGGGAGUGGGAAAAUAACAUUGUGUGAGUCGAUGUGAGUGUGUCACUGUUUGGGGCUGGGUGUGUGUGUGUCCUGUCCCAUCCGGGGGUAGUGAAUUCACUGCCAGGGAAUGGGAUCUGUGUA